rnacentral:lncRNA from 9 species
GUGAGAUGUUCUGAUACCAAAGAAUUGUCAUGACCUGCACUAGUUGGGGAAGCUGCUGGACAUCCAGGAUGAGAGAAACUACAGACCAUGAGGACAAAAUACAACAAGCCAUCAAUCGCCCUCUAAAUACCCUCCUUCUGAGCCUGGUAUCACCUGUUUUUGCUUUUUUUUUUUUUUUUACUGUUUCUCUAUACCAAGGGUGUCUCGUCCUAGCUAUGGAUUGAAGGUGAGAAGAGGAGGAAGCAGAUGACAUAGGUGUCUUUUCCCAGGAAAAAGGUGUAUGGAUGUGACUCCUAGGCUCUUCAUAUGGGACAUUAAUCGCUCUGCUUUUCACCUUAACUUCAAGCACUCUUUCUGAAAUUUCAAUGACUCGAGUGCUCAGGAUUUAGGAAGGCUGGCUGAAAUUAACCCAAUAAGAGAUACAAAAUAGUUAUGAGGUAAGGGGAAAUUUCACUUUGUUAUCUAAUUCAGUCACACAUGAACUCAGAAAUUUCCCCCAAAUUCCUAAGAUAUUUCAUGGGGAAUUGAUACUCUUCAAAAAAUUUGAUCCUAGACAUCCCCUCAAAAUGUUUUAAAGCCAUAAUGCUAGUUAGAGAAUUAUAGGUCCAGAAGUUAUUACCAAAAAUAGUGCAAAAGAAAUAAAAAUCAGUUACAUUUCAAAUAAAACCAUAAUUUGGUAUUUAGUAUCAGAUUUCAACAAACAGUAACACUUAUUAAACGUAAAAACAAUUUCUAUCUCAGAAACGUAUGUUAAAUAAAUAGUAAAGGGGGAUGCUACAAAAGAUUUAAUGGAUUUGCCACCUAAAAACUACGGCAAUUCCAAAGUUAAUUCAAUUGGCAUUUAUUAAAAUAGUACAGACUGAUUGAAAAACAGAGAUAAAUAAGAUGCAAUCAUUGCCUCAGGAAGCGCCAGCCUACCCUAGCUGCACAAAGCACUGAAGAACCAAACUGGUGUAAUGCAAAGUAGUACAUGCUUAUUGCUGGCAAGUGUCCCAGAAUGAGCUUCUAGUACAAUCUAGGGAGAAUCAAGGGAAGCUUCUCUGAAGAGAUAUGUACAAGAGAAAUGUGAAAGGUGAAGAGGAAUUUUCCAGAUAGAAGUGACAGAGGGACAGUGAUGGCAGAGUCUAUCAAGGAACACAAGACAGUUUGUGAGGUAGUGUGAAGCAUCUAUAUUGGAAGGUGGGGCAGGGAAGAAGACUGAGUAAAGAUAAAACUAGAGGAGUUCCUGUUGUGGCUCAGAGGGUUAAGGACCCAACACUGUCUCUGUGAAGAUGCGAGUUCAAUCCCUGGCCUCACUCAGUGGGUUACAGAUCCGGCAUUGCCACAAGCUGUGGCAUAGGUCACAGAUGCAGCUCAGAUCCAGUGUUGCUGUGGCUGUGGUGUAGGCUGCAGCUGCAGCUCCAAUUCAACCCCUUGCCCAGGAACUUCCAUAUGCCACAGGUAUAGCCAUAAAAAGGAAAAAAUAAAUAAAUAAAACUGGAAAGUAGGUGAAGGCAGAGACACUGAAAGAUUUGGAGUGAUCAGUAGAGUAACAAUACAUCCUACAUUGCCCAGGUAAAUCUGGUUUAUACCUGUGGCCCCAACAUAAUGAUUAACAGUGCCCCUUAUACUUUCCAAAGUGUCCCAAAUUGAUAAGUUUUAUGGUCUUUAUAGUGAUUGGAAGCCAUUGGUCCUAGGGAUCCAAAAAUAAAUAAAACCUGACUCCUGCCCUCAAAAAAGUUUAUGAAACUUUUUUCAUAAGAGACAGACAGGGAAGAGCUAACUAUAGCACAAGUCAAAAGAUGAUACACGCUGUAAUAGAAGAAUGAGAAUAUACACCCAGAAGUGAUGACAUUUGAACAAGUGUUGGAGGAUGAGUGGGAAUUGAACAGGAAGGCAAAACCAUUCUAGGCAUGAAUGGUCACAAUGCGUAGGAGAAAGAUGAGCAUGAGGUGCUUGGACAGAUAAGAACCUAAGUGGCUCUGGUUGACAGAUGCAAGGUAAAAAGUUAGCCUUGAAGAUGAAUCAAGAAACUUGUAGCUGAAAAUGUCAAAAGCCCUCAAAGAUUUCCAGAGGACCCACAGGAUCCCAUUUGGCUUUUGAACUGAAAACUAUAGCUUCUCUAGAGUUCCCAUUUUGGCACAGCAGAAACAAAUCCAAC